UAACUAACCAAGGGGCAUUAUUUGUCUUCAAAAUGAAUGUCCAGUGGCUGAUCUCUGGGGUAAAAAGAGGCGUUUCUGUACUGUAACAACGGGAUGACGUCCAACUAAAGUUGUGGCAGGGAACCACUGAUAUGUUUGUGACUGACAACUGCAGGAAAUGAAGACUGAUCUACAGUCAUCUGGCAAGGCUUGAGAUGGUUUCAUCGUCCCGAAGAUUGGCCAGUUUCAGCAUUCAUGAUUUUUCUUUUUUUCAAUGAGCUGUAAAUCUGCAAUUAGUUUUAUUGUUGAGGUUUAAUUUUUAACUUUAGAAAGUUAAAUGUGUCAUUGAUUGCAGAAUAAAUCAUUCAAGUGUCCAACUUGUGCUCAUCUAUACUUUUGUUUCAGAAAUUAUACAAAAUUAACCAUUUCAAAACCUGUAUUUUUGCUA